GAUGAACGCUGGCAGCGUGCCUAAUACAUGCAAGUCGAGCGAACAGAUGAGGAGCUUGCUCCUCUGACGUUAGCGGCGGACGGGUGAGUAACACGUGGAUAACCUACCUAUAAGACUGGGAUAACUUCGGGAAACCGGAGCUAAUACCGGAUAAUAUAUUGAACCGCAUGGUUCAAUAGUGAAAGACGGUUUUGCUGUCACUUAUAGAUGGAUCCGCGCCGCAUUAGCUAGUUGGUAAGGUAACGGCUUACCAAGGCAACGAUGCGUAGCCGACCUGAGAGGGUGAUCGGCCACACUGGAACUGAGACACGGUCCAGACUCCUACGGGAGGCAGCAGUAGGGAAUCUUCCGCAAUGGGCGAAAGCCUGACGGAGCAACGCCGCGUGAGUGAUGAAGGUCUUCGGAUCGUAAAACUCUGUUAUUAGGGAAGAACAAAUGUGUAAGUAACUAUGCACGUCUUGACGGUACCUAACCAGAAAGCCACGGCUAACUACGUG
rnacentral:rRNA from 1 species